GCUUUCUUCUUCAGUCACACUGCAAAUUCUAUUUAUGAUCGUUGCGUUGCACCUUGUCAACUAGUUUUUUAGGUAUGUUUAAGAUCCAAUUUUUCCUCGGAGUUUUUUUUAUAAUAGUUCUCAUGUCAAAGCACGCCACUUCAAAUGUAGAAAUCCAGAAAGAAGAAUCUGCCGAUCUCAGCUAUGACGAUGAUUGUAUCGAUCUUAAACCUCGCUUGUGUGCGAUUUUAGUCCCUCGCUGUUCAGGUGUCAGAAAUAUUGCUUUCCUUUACACAAACUGCAAAAGAACUUGUACUUUCUGUUGAAAAGUGGACUUGCAGAAGCUGAUCUUAGCAAUCAAGAUGCUCAGAUCUUCUAAGUAUUCUGCCUGUAAAACCACAGCAAGUCUGACAUGACAAGAAAGUUGUACUCAUAAAUGAUGAUAACUGUAUUAUUGUUUCAUCUUGUAUUUUGAAUAAAACUAUCAU